rnacentral:lncRNA from 1 species
GAGGCGGUGGGGGGUGGGGGGUGCGGGCGGUGAUCGAAGGGCUGAAGAUGCGGAGGAGGCCGAGUCGCUAGGCGCUUUCGGGGGCGCUGUGCCGGUGAGGCUUAGGCAAGGGGACGGGGAACCGUGGUUAGAUGCAGCAGCGGCGGCAGCAGCCCUCCCAGGUCCCACUUCUUUGGCGUUCCUGCUGCCUGUGACUCAAGACAAUUGACUUCCACCUGAACCCUCAGCUCCGAACGCCUUGCAUUAGAAGCUAGAGCUUUGGAGGUUCUGAGGACGGUCCCUGGGGAGCAAGUGGUAGGUUUCGAGGCGCCCGCUUCCCCUCUGAUUCCUGCAGUAACUGAGAGAGAGUGUGCCAGAAAUGGCUUUGCUGCCGAAUGCAUUAUCUUGCCAUUUUCGUGUCCCAAUACUGAACAAACGAUCGCCUGAUCGAUCGGAACUUCUUCCUCUUUGAAACCGGUUUCCCAAGGGAACUGCCUGUGUGACUGAGAGGCUAGUAAUCUGUUUGUAGAUGAUUUAUAUUUUGGCUGCAGAAUGAAUCCCCCUCCCUACUCGGAGUACUCUCCUUAGAGAUGAUCCCCCGCCCCCUCCCCAUGGGUUCGCUCUCAGAGCUGG